GACGAACGCUGGCGGCGUGCUUAACACAUGCAAGUCGAACGGAAAGGCACUGCUUUUGUGGGGUGCUCGAGUGGCGAACGGGUGAGUAACACGUGAGUAACCUGCCCUUGACUUUGGGAUAACUUCAGGAAACUGGGGCUAAUACCGGAUAGGAGCUCAUGCUGCAUGGUGGGGGUUGGAAAGUUUCGGCGGUUGGGGAUGGACUCGCGGCUUAUCAGCUUGUUGGUGGGGUAGUGGCUUACCAAGGCUUUGACGGGUAGCCGGCCUGAGAGGGUGACCGGACACAUUGGGACUGAGAUACGGCCCAGACUCCUACGGUAGGCAGCAGUGGGGAAGAUUGCACAAUGGGCGGAAGCCUGAUGCAGCAACGCCGCGUGCGGGAAUACGGCCUGCGGGUUGUAAACCGCUGUCGCCUGUGACGAAGCGUGAGUGACGGUAAUGGGUAAAGAAGCACCGGCUAACUACGUG
rnacentral:rRNA from 1 species